CGCAUCUGUGCAUGCAGCAUAUCAAUAAGCGGAGGAAAAGAAACUAACAAGGAUUCCCCUAGUAACGGCGAGUGAAGCGGGAAGAGCUCAAAUUUGGAAUCUUAAAGGGUUUCCCUUUACGAAUUGUAGUUUAAAGAAGUGUUUUCUGUUGAGGUUUUGGUAAAAGUUCUUUGGAAUAGGACAUCAUAGAGGGUGAGAAUCCCGUAUUUGACCUUUACUUUCAACUUUGUGAUACACUUUCAAAGAGUCGGAUUGUUUGGGAAUGCAGUCCAAAAUGGGUGGUAAAUUUCAUCUAAAGCUAAAUAUUGGCGAGAGACCGAUAGCGAACAGGUACCGUGAGGGAAAGAUGAAAAGAACUUUGAAAAGAGAGUUAAACAGUACGUGAAAUUGUCAAAAGGGAAGCGUUUGACACCGGUGUUGUUUUUCUGAAAAUCAAUUAAAGAACUGUUUAUGCUAAGUUGUUUAGACUUUAUCAGCUAACUGUUUAGUUUUGAGCUUUUCUUUAAUGCACUUUUCAGUUAACAAGUCAACAUCAAUUUCUUUUGCUGUAAAAAAGCUUGAGGAAGGUGGCUUGAGAUUCGUCUUAAGUGUUUAUAGCCUCUUGCCUAUGCAGUCGGAGAGAUUGAGGUCUGCAGCGUAGAUCCUUCGGGGCUAAAUGCAUUUGUGCUAAGUUAUAGCAUUUCAUAGACAACUUGUUGACUAUGAUUUGUCUUGUAGCUUACUCGCUUAUGUUAUUUUACCUACGCUUAGGAUGUUGACAGCAGUAUAGACUGU
rnacentral:rRNA from 1 species